rnacentral:rRNA from 1 species
AUUGAACGCUGGCGGCAGGCCUAACACAUGCAAGUCGAGCGGAGCGGCGGACGGGUGAGUAAUGCCUAGGAAUCUGCCUGGUAGUGGGGGAUAACGUCCGGAAACGGUCGCUAACUCCUCCUACUUUCAGUUAAGCCUACGUGGGAUUAGCUAGUUGGUGGGGUAAAGGCCUACCAAGGCGACGAGCCGUAACUGGUCUGAGAGGAUGAUCAGUCACACUGGAACUGAGACACGGUCCAGAAUCCUACGGGAGGCAGCAGUGGGGAAUAUUGGACAAUGGGCGAAAGCCUGAUCCAGACAUGCCGCGUGUGUGAAGAAGGUCUUCGGAUUGUAAAGCACUUUAAGUUGGGAGGCGUUACCAACAGAAUAAGCACCGGCUAACUCCGUGCCAGCAGCCGCGGUAAUUC